GACGAACGCUGGCGGCGUGCCUAAUACAUGCAAGUAGAACGCAGUUGCGAACGGGUGAGUCACGCGUAGGUAACUGCCUCAUAGCGGGGGAAAACUAUUGGAAACGAUAGCUAAUACCGCAUACUGUGAGAUGGACCUGCUUUGUAUGAGCCAGUUUGUGAGGUAAAGGCUCACCAAGGCGAAGCUACAUAGCCGACCUGAGAGGGUGAUUGGCCACAACGUGACGGAGACACGGCCCAGACUCCUACGGGCGGUAGCAGUAGGGAAUCUUCGGCAAUGGACGUGAGGCUGACCGGGGCACGCGGCGGGAGUGCAGAAGGUUUUCGGAUCGUAAAGCUCUUUUGUUAGAGAAACGGUAACUAACCAGAAAGGGACGGCUAACUACGUGACAGCAGCCGCGGUAAUAC
rnacentral:rRNA from 1 species